ensembl:lncRNA
ACUAAGGCAAGCAAGGUUAAAGUGACUUUCCCAAGGACCUACAGAUAGUAAAUGUCUAAGGCCAGAUUUGAAGUCAGGAAGAUGAGUCUUCCCAACUCCAGGCCCAGUCUCUCCACUAUGCCACAUAGCUGCCCUAAUAUUAUACAACAGAUAUAAUUAAAAGAUAGAAGCAAGGACACAAUUUUAUAUUAAAGGCACCAUGAAAUAAUAUCAAUGUAGAAUACUAUGCAUGCAUAUACAUAUAUGCUUGUAUAUACAUAUAUAUACAUACACAGAGAUGUGUGUGUAUAUGUAUACACACAUACCAAAUGUCAUAGGUACCAAGUACUUAAAGGGAAAACUAAUCAAAUUAUAAGGACAAAUAAACAAUAAAAUUAUAGUAAUGGAGGUAAUAGGUAUAGUAAUGGAGGUAUAGUAAUUGGGUUCCUUUUUUGGCCUAGACAAAUAUGACAAAAAGAUUUUUAAAAAAAGUAAAGAAGGAAGGAAGGAAGGAAGGAAGAAGAUAGAUUCAUGGUUUCACAUGUAAUCCUCUUUUUCUGAUCAUGUGAAAAUAUUUGCUUGUUGGUGAUAGUCAACUUCAUAAUAAAAAAAAAUUAAAAAAACAAUUAACACAAUUAUCAUUUUACACAAGAGAAAAUGAAAUCCCCAGUGGUUUAGGGACUUAUCCAAAGGAACACAGAUAAUGACAAUACUGGAAGAAACUCCUAGGUCUUCUGUGGAAAGGAAUUUAGAGUGACAGUUUGUGGGGGAAGGGCCCAACUGGGAGUGGCAGUUCGGUCUUGUGACUAGCACUUCCUUCCUGCCGGGUGGGACUUGCUUCUGGGUGUCGGAGGAGAGAGGAGCUUGUUCAGUCCAGUCUGGAGUGGCAUACUCUUCUUGGUUCAGCUGGAAGAUUCAAGUCCAAUCUCUUCUGAAGUUAGACCCUUCAGGUUUCUGGGCUUUCUGAAGACCUCAAAAAGCCUACCUCAUUCUGAUGAUCAGACACAUUUCUAUAUGGAGAUAAGGAAUAUGGCCUCAUCCAGAAAAGCUAAGUGCCUCUGUAUCUUUGUUGCAUAUAUUUGCAGUUGUGAAGAUUACAUUUAACUCUCCCCUGAUUGUGAAAAUUAAAUUAACUUUCCCCUGAUUGUGAAAAUUAAAUUAACUCCCCUACCCAUUUUUAGAUUUAAUCACCAAAAGUAUAAACAUGCUACUUACAGUUGAGUGGGGAGAUCUGCCCAUUUUUAGAUCUAAUCACCAAAAGUGUAAACAUCCCACUUAAUCAUUAUGUGGGGAGGUCUGUGACCCACAUGUGCAAUAGUGGGUGACGAAUCAAAAUCAAACAGGCUGUCCCAUGGGCCAUCCUAAGCAAAGCUUCAACUGUGAUUGGUGACAUAAAAUUAAGGGAAGGCACAGGAAGUGAUGCAAAAGAAAGUGUCUUUAAAAGUGACAACUUCCUGUGGGGGAAUUCUUUGGAGGACAUCUUUGGAGAGUUCUCCAGUUCUUUGUGCUUAAGAGUUCAACUUGAACUUUGGCUUCUUCUGGAGUUCUGAGUUCAAGUUGGAGGCUGGUGAAGAAUUUGCUGACUGGACUUGAGACCCUGUUCCUGGUGUGAUUGUCCUUGGACUGACAUGUGGUCAGUGAAAAAGUUAACUCUUUUCCUGGAUUUUCUGAAGAGACUAGCCUCAGGAGACACCAACCUCUUGAGAUAGACUUCCCCAGGUCCUCAGCUUUGCCAAGGACUCUCUGGCUAAGGAUUAACUUUCCCUGCCUAGGUUGAGACAGGAGCCAGGAGUAAAUUACUUAGUGCUUGGAUUAGAUAUCUUACCCUAUACUCUCUCUGAUUUUCUUACAUCACUCUUUAUAUAUUUUGUAAAUAAAUCUCUUUAGAAUAAAUUAAAUUCCUGGCA